GCCCAGAUGGCGAAAUUGGUAGACGCGCUAGUUUCAGGGACUAGUGCCAGCAAUGGUGUGCAGGUUCGAGUCCUGUUCUGGGCA
rnacentral:tRNA from 1 species